AGUCUCAUGUGAUUUGGUGAAAAGAGACAAGUAACAGGUGUGCCCUCUACGAUAUGACAACUACGUCCUAUUAGAGUGGGAUUAAACAAGCUGAGCUGUGAACCAUCAAGAUACUGCUUCAACAUAUCAGUAAAAUUUUAACCAGUACGAGAGGGUCAAGGCUUGUUUCAGCGCUCAUAAAACAUUAUCUGUUACCAUGUCAACAGUUUAGAACAUUUAUCACCCUUAACCCAUCUCUAAUACUUCAAUACACUUACUCUUGGCGAAAGUCAUCUUUUUUGCUACAACCGAUCAUGUCGCAUCCACACGUUCGCGCCUAUGUGAAGAGGGUAGCUUCAAUCGAUCAAGAAGCUUUCCCAGAUUGGAAC
rnacentral:lncRNA from 1 species